CAGAGCGUAUGGUUAAAAGCAUGGACUCUGGAGUUCAGACUGCCUUAGUCUCAAUCUCAGGAUUACACUUGUUGAUCUUGGGCAGGAAAUAGCCUAUUUCAAGGCGACACCCUCCACCAUAUGACGGAGAUAAGAUUCAUGGAUACUCCUCUUGUUACCAUU